UACGGGGGGAGCAAGCGUUGUUCGGAUUUACUGGGCGUAAAGGGCGCGUAGGCGGCGUGACAAGUCACUUGUGAAAUCUCCGGGCUUAACUCGGAACGGUCAAGUGAUACUGCCGUGCUAGAGUACAGAAGGGGCAACUGGAAUUCUCGGUGUAGCGGUGAAAUGCGUAGAUAUCGAGAGGAACACCUGCGGCGAAGGCGGGUUGCUGGGCUGAUACUGACGCUGAGGCGCGAAAGCUAGGGGAGCGAACGGG
rnacentral:rRNA from 1 species